AUUGAACGCUGGCGGAAUGCUUUACACAUGCAAGUCGAACGGCAGCACGGGGCAACCUGGUGGCGAGUGGCGAACGGGUGAGUAAUACAUCGGAACGUGCCCAAUCGUGGGGGAUAACGUAGCGAAAGUUACGCUAAUACCGCAUACGAUCUACGGAUGAAAGCGGGGGAUCGCAAGACCUCGCGCGAGUGGAGCGGCCGAUGUCAGAUUAGGUAGUUGGUGGGGUAAAGGCUCACCAAGCCAACGAUCUGUAGCUGGUCUGAGAGGACGACCAGCCACACUGGAACUGAGACACGGUCCAGACUCCUACGGGAGGCAGCAGUGGGGAAUUUUGGACAAUGGGCGCAAGCCUGAUCCAGCCAUGCCGCGUGCAGGAUGAAGGCCUUCGGGUUGUAAACUGCUUUUGUACGGAACGAAAAGACUCUUUCUAAUAAAGAGGGUCCAUGACGGUACCGUAAGAAUAAGCACCGGCUAACUACGUG
rnacentral:rRNA from 1 species